CUAAAGUUUUUCAUAAACAUGGUGAAUUUUGGUGGCCAAAACAUUGAUGGUGAGAACAUUAGGAAGAAAAUGUUGCGAAAGCAGAUAAAAAAACUACAGUUAUUGAACCCAAAUAGCGAAGCGCGACCACGAAAAAUCCGAUGAGCAGCCUGCAAGCCAGGACGCAAUAAAAGACAAACCAUGAUUACCAGAAACUGAUGUGGAUCUUCAGACAGUUUCAUAUAGUACUUUUUUGUCACAAUGUACAAGGACAGCUCAAAAUGACGAGCAAGAAACAUAUUUAUUUUCGGAACAAGGUGAAGAAGAAAAAAUGAAAGUCGUAUCAAGAAGAUAAACAUUGGAACAAUAAAAUAGUACCAAAACCAGCAUUCGAAAAUAUCUGUUAUGUUAUGUUAUAUUAUAUAUCAAAUGUCAAAAUUCUAUCU